rnacentral:lncRNA from 1 species
UGUGUCAGAUACACUCACAUUCUACUCCUAAACUGGAAAAAGAAAAGCCGAGAGAAUGUGGCUAUGAAAACAAAGGCGCAGUUUUCCUUUCACACCUCCAUUUGCAAAGAACAAGGACUACUGGCUUUUGUAUUUCUGAAGAGGAGAGAGUGAAAGGUACACAGCAGAGUUCAGAAGAAGUUGCAUCCUGGCAAAUGAGUUCAUGAAGAUGGCUGGAUGAAUGGCAGGUAACAAGAGUGCCAGAAGAUUUGGAAUUUGUAUAACCCCAAACUGUGUUUUCCUAACUAAUCUUGGCAAGCUUAAAACCCUGGAAAGUCACAAUUCACUUCCCAGGCGAUCAUCCUGGACAGCUCAGCAGCAGAAAAAGCAGAACAGGAUAUCCAGCUAUUGAACAGGGCCGCCGGCCCAGGUGGCCAGCCUUGCAGCUGCAGAGCGUGUCCUACCAGGAGGGCAGCUCAGGGCUGCAGGAAGACACGUUCCGUUCCUCUGUUUUCAGCUCAAGAGGAAAGCACAGUCUGCACUAACUCCCAAACACUGCCUGCCAACACAGCACUUUCCAGCUAUGGUGAAAGGAGGGUAGGUAUCUGAACAACACAUGUCAGAAGAGGAACAAAUCAUUUAUGAGAUAUGGGAGGCCCCAGUAUGAGCAGAUAGUCAACUAUGAGAAAACAGCUUCAGUUUAUUAUUGUACUGACUGAAGCAUAACAUCAUAGAUGUGAGGCCGCUGAGGACCA